GCCGAUGUGGUGAAAUUGGUAGACACGCCACGUUCAGGGCGUGGUGGGGGCAACCCCGUGGGGGUUCGAGUCCCUCCAUCGGCACCA
rnacentral:tRNA from 1 species